rnacentral:misc_RNA from 1 species
GAUGAAGAACGCAGCGAAAUGCGAUAAGUAGUGUGAAUUGCAGAAUUCAGUGAAUCAUCGAAUCUUUGAACGCACAUUGCGCCCUUUGGUAUUCCAAAGGGCAUGCCUGUUCGAGCGUCAUUUGUACCCUCAAGCUUUGCUUGGUGUUGGGCGUCUUGUCUCUAGCUUUGCUGGAGACUCGCCUUAAAGUAAUUGGCAGCCGGCCUACUGGUUUCGGAGCGCAGCACAAGUCGCACUCUCUAUCAGCAAAGGUCUAGCAUCCAUUAGGCCUUUUUUUCAACUUUUGACCUCGGAUCAGGUAGGGAUACCCGCUGAACUUAAGCAUAUCAAUAAGCGGAGGA